rnacentral:rRNA from 1 species
GACGAACGCUGGCGGUGUGCUUAACACAUGCAAGUCGAACGGUAAGGCCCUUUCGGGGGUACACGAGUGGCGAACGGGUGAGUAACACGUGAGUAACCUGCCCUCAUCUCUGGGAUAACAGUCGGAAACGGUUGCUAAUACUGGAUCUGAGCUUGCAAGGCAUCUUGUGGGUUGGAAAGAUUUUUUUUGGUUGGGGAUGGACUCGCGGCCUAUCAGCUUGUUGGUGAGGUAGUGGCUCACCAAGGCUUCGACGGGUAGCCGGCCUGAGAGGGCGACCGGCCACAUUGGGCCUGAGAUACGGCCCAAACUCCUACGGGAGGCAGCAGUGGGGAAUAUUGCACGAUGGACGGAAGUCUGAUGCAGGAACGCCGCGUGCGGGAUGACGGCCUUCGGGUUGUAAACCGCUUUCAAUUGUGACGAAGCUUUUUUGUGACGGUAGCAGUAGAAGAAGCACCGGCUAACUACGUG